AGUGAACGCUGGCGGUAGGCCUAACACAUGCAAGUCGAACGGCAGCACAGUAAGAGCUUGCUCUUACGGGUGGCGAGUGGCGGACGGGUGAGGAAUACAUCGGAAUCUACUUUUUCGUGGGGGAUAACGUAGGGAAACUUACGCUAAUACCGCAUACGACCUACGGGUGAAAGCAGGGGAUCUUCGGACCUUGCGCGAUUGAAUGAGCCGAUGUCGGAUUAGCUAGUUGGCGGGGUAAAGGCCCACCAAGGCGACGAUCCGUAGCUGGUCUGAGAGGAUGAUCAGCCACACUGGAACUGAGACACGGUCCAGACUCCUACGGGAGGCAGCAGUGGGGAAUAUUGGACAAUGGGCGCAAGCCUGACCCAGCGAUACCGCGUGGGUGAAGAAGGCCUUCGGGUUGUAAAGCCCUUUUGUUGGGAAAGAAAAGCAGCAGGUUAAUACCCCGCUGUUCUGACGGUACCCAAAGAAUAAGCACCGGCUAACUUCGUG
rnacentral:rRNA from 1 species